rnacentral:rRNA from 1 species
CCAGCUCCAAUAGCGUAUAUUAAAGUUGUUGCAGUUAAAUAGCUCGUAGUUGAAUCUUGGGCCUGGUUUGGCGGUCGCGCUUUAGGGCGUGUACUGUCGGCCGGGUCUUUUACUUGCGGGGAACGUGCGUGCCUCUCGGGGUGUGUACGGGAACCGUGGCUAUUACUUUGAAAAAAUUAGAGUGUUUAAAGCAGGCGUAAGCUUGUAUACAUUAGCAUGGAAUAAUAGAAUAGGACUUUGGUUUUAUUUUGUUGGUUUCUAGGGCCGAAGUAAUGAUUAAUAGGGAUAGUUGGGGGCAUUAGUAUUUAAUAGUCAGAGGUGAAAUUCUUGGAUUUAUGAAAGACUAACUUCUGCGAAAGCAUUUGCCAAGGAUGUUUUCA